rnacentral:ncRNA from 1 species
UUAAAAGCUUUGAUUAGGAAAAGUAUUUAAGCAAGUAACUUAAAGAGAGUGGGGAAAGGUGAAAACCCAUAGUGAAGGUUUAAAGAAAAUCACCUAUGAGCUGAGAGCUGAAAGUUUAGUAAGCUUAUCCGUAUUUCUGCGUUAAAGAAUAAGGUAUAAUUGUACUUGACUUUAUAUUUGUGUUAUAGGUGGUUUAGCGAAUUUAACUUCGCCCUAUUA